rnacentral:rRNA from 1 species
GGUUUCCCUUUACGAAUUGUAGUUUAAAGAAGUGUUUUCUGUUGAGGUUUUGGUAAAAGUUCUUUGGAAUAGGACAUCAUAGAGGGUGAGAAUCCCGUAUUUGACCUUUACUUUCAACUUUGUGAUACACUUUCAAAGAGUCGGAUUGUUUGGGAAUGCAGUCCAAAAUGGGUGGUAAAUUUCAUCUAAAGCUAAAUAUUGGCGAGAGACCGAUAGCGAACAAGUACCGUGAGGGAAAGAUGAAAGGAACUUUGAAAAGAGAGUUAAACAGUACGUGAAAUUGUCAAAAGGGAAGCGUUUGACACCAGUGUUGUUUUUCUGAAAAUCAAUUAAAGAACUGUUUAUGCUAAGCUGUUUAGACUUUAUCAGCUAUCUGUUUAGUUUUGAGCUUUUCUUU